AAUUAGGUUAACCCACAUACUUAAAGUAAUAAAUCAUUUUGAGAUAACUUACUUUUAAGAAAUACUUUAUUCAAAAAUACUGAAAGGUUAUGUUGUCACUAUAACAGAUUCAUUGCUUAUUAAUUGUGUCUGGAAUUAUUAUAAAGACACAGAAUAAUAUAGUAUUUGGGCAUUUUAUGGUGACCUAUUUUAUAGCAGCAGAAAUAUGAAAGAAUGAAAUCAGAAAUAAAUCCUGAGAGAUUUACACUGCAAAAGGACCUUUUAAUCUAUUACAUGUUGUACCAUGUAAAUAUUUUAAAGUGAUUCUGAGGCAGUCCUGACCUGAUUUCUGGAUCUUUGCCAGUGUCACAAUGGAAAGUCCAGAAGUCUGCCAGUGCCUUGUAGCCCUGGCUCUGAGGUACCAGUGGAGCAAAGGGGAGGACUCAAGGGUUACCGUAUUGCUAACAAAACCUUGAAGAUAUUGCAAGAGCCUUUUCAGAUGGUCUUUUCUUUCUUUCUGCAUAAAUUAUGAGCCUUCUGGCUCUGCAGAUAUAAAGACAAAUGGCACAGUUUCUGUCUCCAGAACUAAAAGUCUAUUGGGGAAGAUAGUCACACAAACAGCCAACUGUAAGACAGAUGACAAAGACUGUUCUAAAGUUUGUGGACUAAGGACCAGGUGAGCAGAGGAGAUGGGAUGUUUAAUUCUGUUGACCAGGCUGGAUGUAGAGGACAGAAUGGGGUGAGAUUAGUGAGGGUUUGAGAGAAGACAUUAAAAUAGAAUCUUGAAGGAUUUCCUCUGAAAGUAAGGGGAUGGUAUAGUCAGGGCAGAAAGUUUUCUAGAGCAAUAGAACACAGAAGUCUGAGCUUAGUUGAGUGUAGAAAGAGAAAAAGUCUUGCAUGGUUAGAUGUGGGAACCAAAUGGGAGAGUAGAAAGACAGUUCCAUUGUACAGAACUCAGUUCCCAAUCAUCAGAGAGAGGAAACAGAGAUGCAGAAAAUUUUGAUGAUCUGUUAAAAGUUAGCGAAGAUAAGAGUGCAGAGAGUAAUUGAAAAGUAUGCAAAGGGAGAAAAUGAUUUUGGGGGGUACAAAGAAGGACAAAACUUCAUGUUUCCUGGGAGUAUGAAUGAUUUUAGCCUGCAGGUGUCAGAAAAUAUAUGAAUGAGGGCCUGUCAUUGCAAAAAUGUUGAAAAAAGUGGGACUUUAACGGGAGACACUGACAUGUUGAUGUGGAUGAAGUGGGCCUGGGGCUUGUGGCCUCCUUUUGUGGUCUUACACAGGAUUGCUAUUUUUCAGUUCCCAGUUUCGGCAUUUUUGUUUUGAGAUUUGUUUUAGUGAUUCUUUUCUAGCACGUGUUCAG
rnacentral:lncRNA from 1 species